GCCCCGCCCCGCGGCUGAGGGGCCGCCCGCGGCUGCAUUGCCCGCUGCGUUCUUUUCGACCUUUUCCCUUUUCCAUUUUUCUUCCCUUCCCUUUCCUUUCCUUCCCUUCUUCCUGAUUAGACAAAUCACCGGACCUGCAGAGAGGUGAAAGACAUGUAAAGACAUAGUCCAGGAACUCAAAAAUGUGCCAAAGGCUUCUAGCAAAAAAAGGAGGAGUUGAGUAUUCAACAUGAGACAGAUUGCUACCAUCCUUCUGGAAAAAGACGAAGGGACAAAAUGUUACAGCGAUGCUAAGCAAUAGGGUGACAUGUUGGAAGUACCCACAUGGUGUAAUCCUAGUGAAGACAGCAGCUUUGCCUGGAUCCCUGGGGCAUGGUGCUCAUCCCUCAGUACACAUGAGUGCAUGAAGCCCCUUACUGGUUGCCAUCCUGAGAAUCUGCUAAUUCAAUUUCUCAGCGACUUCCAGCAUUCUCUGAUCCUUGUGAUACUUGGAGAACUUCAGGAAACAAGAUGAUUCCAGGAGAGUUCUGUAAAUGUAAUUUCUACAGGAAUAACAACACCGCCUACUUGGUAUAAUCUAAUAAUGUUUGCCAGUUCCAGGUAGCAAAUAUCUCAUUAGAAUCAAACAGAACACAGUCAAGUAAGUCCUUCCUUUGCUUUAAACACAGACAACAGCAACAUCAGUUAUCCCACAUGCUGCUGAUAAAAAUGGGGUGGUUUGUUUUUACUGAAACCCUCCCUGUUGGUUUCCUGUGUGGCCAUGGGCAAGGCAGACACAGGGGCUGUGUGUCACUUCUGCUUCAGUGGAAUGAAAUGAGCUCUGCUACCAACUUAUCAGGAGACAGUAAUUUAUUGCACAAGCCAAGAAUUAUUCCUCAAAGAAGUGUAGACGAUAAAUCCUCUCAAGCUGUUCUAUGAGUGGCAGAACCAGGAUCUGUAAUGUCACAGGAGGUUCAAUGUCUGCACCACAAGCACAAUUACAUAAUGAUGCAUCACCCACAGCAUCUACUGCUGGGCAUUUGUCAACAAGGACGAGAGACAUAUGCUUAGAGGGAUCAAUGUUCCUGUUAACACAUUGCAUCAGAGGGAUGAGCAGACACCCCCAUGGAAAUGGAUCCCAGGAGCAGGCUGCAGUCCUGAGAUAAGUAAGUGAGCUUUCUCAUCAUUUGAGGCUUAAGUGGUGAGCCAUUACUCAGCUAAAAAUCCAGAUGGAAUGUUGUCAGCAGAGUUCUUACCCAGCUCUGGGACAACAGCUUUGCAACAAUGCAGAUGUCUUCCUGGCAAGAAGGACACCCCACCUUUGAUGUUUAACUACCAGCAGCCACUGCACAAGGCAGGAAGGGAGUAAGCAAAUCCCAGUGCAGAGACUUUGCAUAGAGAGAACGUGUAUUUUACAUAUGCAUAAUGGGGGUUUAUAAACCUGGAGCAGAAAACAGAAAUGUUGCAUUGAGAAGGUAAGAGCAUAAAGAAAGAAUUUGCCAUCUAGCUGCUAAUAAAAUUCUAAGCUUCACAGACGUUUGGGCCAAAGCCCAUGAAUUAUUUAGUCUUGUUACCUGCAUAAUGUAGGUCACAACCUCCCUGUGUAAUUAGGCUAAACAGUACCUACUUCUAUUUCAGCUCUGUAAUAAAACAUUUAAGGCAACAGUUCUGAUUUCAGGACUUGAAGGAUGGAGAGCUGAAAACAUGCCCAAACUGGGGCUUUCCCUCCCUUCCUCAUUCUGAGCUCAGCUCAUUAUAUUCUGCAUAGAACUGCUGCCUCCUCAGCCAUUUUUUUUCCCCAGCCUGGAGUCCAGCAGACUGACAGCACUUGCUGAGUUCUCGUACAUAGCAAAGUGGUAUUUUACUUAACCCUUGGAAAAGCUAAGCAGACAAGACUUCCUUCUUUCUGUAAGAUUUUCCAGAUUAACUUUGUAGCUUUAAUUGUCUCUGCCUGGGGUCUUUUAGGGGUUGUGUUGGUAAAGCUUCAGUUCAUGUGUGUAAGGCUUAUUCAAUGAUUAAUGCUAAAAAUCAAUCUUGACCUAGAUCCUCCUCUCAGCACAACAGAGAGACUUGGGUAAGGGCCUCACAGGAGUGUGCGUUAGUGCUGCUUGUUCUGAACUUUAGGGAUCCGUUGUGGUACAAACAUGGAACAUCAAACUGCAUCUUGUGAGUAUGCAGGAAGGGCUGGAGUAAGAAAACCCAUCAGUUACUGCCUUUAGUGACAGUGGAAUCAACUCUUAAUAUUGGAAUAAACAGAAGUGGGAGAAAAAUUUUUUUACCGAAAUUAAUCCAGUGCUACCUAAGCAACAUUGCUUCAGCAAAUAUUACUGGAGGCCUGUGGGCAAUUAACAGAGCUUAGUUUUAAGACUCUAUUAAAUAUUAAAUAUUAUUCACAUCUGGUUUUUGUCAUCAGCUUUGGAUAAGGAAUCUCCUGAAAAAGCAACCCCACCCACCUUAUAGGAUACAAGGUUCAGCUCUGAAGGCUCUUAAAAUUGCUUGUCCACAAGGUCCUGUAAAUUAUUUGGCCAUGGUGUAACAGAGCAGAGCAUUGCACAUAAAAUGUUCCACUGGUUUUGCCAGCUGCAAGAAAGUCUUUAGUCAGAGCAGUGGCAAAAAAAACAAAAAAAACCAAAAGAAAACAAAACCAAACCCAAAACCAAAAAGCAAACCAAACCAUCAGUUUUGUUCUAACAGAUUCUAAGUUUGGCAUUUUCGGUGCAGGAAAAUUACUGUCUUAUCCAGUGAAGGAAGCUUUUUCUCCUCUCUUUUUGUCAGGCAUCUUUCAGGAUGCCUGACAUCUUGUGCACUUCCACACAGAGGUGCAGGACAGCCCCUAUCUAACAGCUCUGGGUUUGUCCCCUUCCAAUCCUUGCUGAUGAGGAAGACCCAGUGUGUCUGCCUAAGAGAAUGGCAGAGAGAAGGGAACACAAGAACAGUAUCAGAAGCAUCUUCAGUGUUGCCAAAAGCACAGGAGUAGAAAAUCCAACAGUUUCACUUUGGGGGAAAACACUGCCAGGUUCAUCCCUUCUGUAUUGCCUUGCCACUUAGAGUAAAUAUUCAAUGUAUGGUCUCACUAAUGUUGCAGAGGGAAAUCCUACUACCCUCUACUCCUACUUGGUCUAUCUGCUCAAAGGGUCAAAUCUUCCCUUUAAUUUACUUCUAUGUAUUUACAGCAGAAAUGCCCAUGCAGCCCUCAGUUGCCAGAAUUCCUCAACACUUGUGUUUUCUGGAAAACAUCUGUUCCUAGUGGCUAGAUGAUCUUCCUUUUGCUCAGCAUCAAACAUACCCUGCAUUAAGUGACUCGGACCAUUCAGCAACUUGUCCUCACUAAUAAAAAGUGGUUUAUUUAAUAUAAUUUAUGAAAAUAUUGUACACAGUUGAACAGAUCUGCAGAAUUAUACUAGCUAACUACAAAUGAAAAAAUCUCCUCUUCAAAAAUAAUUCAGUAUAAAUUGACCUUUUCGUUUUUCUCCUUCAGGUUCUCAAGUGAGAUUACAAAACACCAACUCUAUUGUGGCAUAUAAUAAUGAGCCACAUUUGCAAUCUGAUUUAGCCUUGUUGUUUUAUUGAGAAAGACCAGUAUUGCUUUUUCCCAAAGCCACACAGAAGAGCUCUACUGAGGUUACCUUAUAAUUUACUCUUUGUAUAUACCCAGAGUUUGAUCUUAUUGAUCCCUUUUACAACAUCCACUUUUUUGGAACUUCCAGUUUCCCAAAGUAAACUUAAAAAUCUCCAUGCUUGCCACCUUUCAUCCAGUACCUAUCUGUUCUUACCAGCCUUUAAUACUUACACAAUAAUGCCAAUUACAGCAAACUUGAUGAUUUAUUUUUAAGAAAAAAUAUUGGCAGCCUUUAUUCAGCUGCACCAGAUCCCAGCACUAGCUGCUCUGAAAUUCCUGAUGCACCACUUCUACAAACCCAUGGGGAUGUCCUAAGUAAAACCUGGUACAAAACCAGAUUGACAUUAGAAAGGACAAUCGACCCAAGAGAGCCCAAGGACAUAAGGGAAGUUCAAGUUAACAGAUUCUAGCUAUAGAAAGGUACUGACCAGAAAACCUCUUUUUUCUCUCUCAGGAGAUACCUAUUCUUUGCCUUUGAGAUCAAAGUAACUGCAGCAUGUAACACCUGACCACCUCAGGCGCCUGGUUUUUUACCUGUAGCCUUACAUUGUUUUUCACAGGAUGACUUUUUUUUGUUAAAUCAAGACAAAAACGGGGGUUUUUGUAAACCAGAGUAAGCACACAUGACAUUCAUAUACCUUUUUUAUUUCAAGUUUCAGCUGAAAGUAGUUGUCCUUAAAAAUCAAGAGCAUCCUUUCAGAAAAGCUGAGUUACGAGACCAGCAAAAAAGACAAGAGUCCUGAGAGAUAAAAAUUUAUUUAUCUGAUCAGCAUGUCAUGAUAUGGUCACAACUCAUACAGCUGACAUUCUUAUAGCCAAGAGGGAUGUUUUUCUUUUUAAAAAUACAUUUUUCUUUCCAGCAGGAAGGAUUUUUUAAAAACAAACAUUUCAUACUAGGCAGGAAUUAAAAACAAUGGCUUUUUCAAUAUGACAACACAGCUGGUAAGCACUGGAUACCCCACCAGUGUCUUAAUAUUCAGAUUUUGAGUUUUCCCUCCCGCUCCCCAAUUCCCCCACCCCACACAGAAAAACACCACACAGAAAAACAGGACAAAACCCAGAUGGGAAACAAAGAGGUAGACAUCACUACAACUAUGGCGCUGUUUUGGAAAUUGUGCGAGAUGUCUCACAAUGCUCCAAGGAGUUCCUUUUCCCUUUGUUAGACACUGCAGAACUGGGCCCCAGCAGUGAACUCAAGAGGGGACAGGAGCCAAGAGCCAUCGCCACCAAGAGGUGCCAGGGCUGCAGAAUGGGUGGGGCUGUCCCACCUGGCAUUGCUCUGACCAGCUGGGGUGGCUUAAAAACAGAUCCCUCUUUAAAACUAUGGAUCUCACAAUGACAACAGCCUUUCUCCCAACAAGGCUGGAGUCACAUCCUUCUAGCAGGCAAACCAGGGUCAAGGGGGCUUGGGUUCUGCUCUUGGACACCCUCAGCUCUCAGAAACUUUAAGAAGACUCAUGGCUACAGUGACUUGCAGAAGAACUCCGCAGCUGGGGACUGGCACAGCUUCCAGCGGGUGCUGCAGCGAGUGAGGGCUGCAGAAGCUGCUGUCCCCUCUCUCCCCUACUGAUCCACUCCUUCUCUUGCCACUUCUGGCACUGAAACAUUUGUCCCUGUGUCCCUCCUCAUAAACAGUGUUAUCUAUCACAAAUUAACACUGCGGCUGUACAGUGAACCAAAGAGUUAUUUUACUAUUUGUUGUGUUUAUGGUAAGCACAGUAAAGGUUGUGUAUCCACUAGUUAAAAGCACAAUAAAUACAACCAUCAAAUAAAAUCUUCUCAUCUAUUAAGGAUCAGAAGCAUAUUAAAUAGUCUUGAAAGAAAACUCUUUUUGCCACAGGGGGGGAAAAAAAAAAACACCACCAAAAAACCAACAAAAAACCCCAAACAAAACAAAACAAAAAAUCCAAAACAAACAAACAAACAAAAAAACCCAGCCCAGGGAAAAUAAAGAGAAAUGCUGCUUCUGGUAUCUGUCUACAUUUCUGAAAGUCAUAUUAGCUGCUGGAAAGAAUUUAUAAAAAAAAUACCCAAUUAAAUAAAUUCAGCAAAAUAAUUCCAAACAUCACCAGCCCUUCACAAAACCACUGACAGUCACUCCAGGCUUCCACAUCCACUUCAUCACAUAAAACAAAAAUGUAGGUAACAGAGAAGGGAAGGAGAAAACUGGAGGUGAAGAGAACUGCUAUUAAAAAAACCUGUUCAUCAUACAAUAUGAACAUCAUGGAGGAAUAAUUUUAAGUAACUAACUCAAUUUAAUAGGACAGUUGUUCAGUGAAUAAUUACUUCAUUAUCUCAUGAUAAAAUAAAAGAUCUAACUUUAAAAUGCAUAGAAUCCUUCCAAUGACAACUUCUAUCACAGCCAGGCAGUCUACAGCUCUUACAGAAAAAGCAGAGCUGCUCAGAAACAUUUCCAAUGUCUGCAGACAUUUUAAACCAGAGUAUGGUUUCCAUUUUGCUCUUCCCAUUGUUGCUUUGUAUUUUUUAAAAGUGUAAAAACUACCAAAUAUGCAAUUUUGCAAAAUAACCCUUUAUUUCAUAUGGCUCCAUUAUUUCCAAAAAAAUACAGAACCCCAGAUGUAUAAUUGUUUUGUGUGAUUGUAUCAGAUCACCACAAAAUCUUCAGCUGACUGUCAAGAGAAUGCAUCCAACCCUGGGCUCGUGGUUUGGAAAUCCCAGUUUUAGGUACCUUUGGUCCCAAAAUGUAUGUCAAGGCAAAGCGGAGCAGCUGAAUCCUGUCACACACAGUGAUCGGUAUCUGUUAUUAUCGUGUACAAACAGGUGAGAAAAGUUAACAGCACUUUAUGGCAGUGUCACACAAAGAAAAGUUACAUCAUCUGCAAACCAAGUGAACAAGGAACAGUACCACAGUGAUCGCUUUAUUUGUACUGCAAGAAGAUGCACCUUAUUUGUGACGCUGGGGGAGGAGGGAGAGGGAAGCUUUUAAUUUUCCAGGAAAUCAAGGUAAACUGAAAUUUCAGUUUUCAACAUCUGGUGACAGCAACUUUAAAAAGGGGAAAAAAAUAAAAAAGAAGAAGAAAAAGAGAUGCCACUGUUGCAUGAUUCAACAGAAGCACACGUGGAACCCAAGUGAGACUGAAAUGACGGCGCACUCACCCGAGGGCACUGAAGAAACUGCUUGGUGUGGAUGGACAGGUGCUCUUCACAUCAUGGGAUUCACAGAGCAGCAAAGCUAAACCGUGAGGACCGACACAACUUCAACUGUAACAACUUCUUUAUGAACAAUUAAACAUAGAAACGUGAAGAUGUUUUGUGGGCAACCCUGGCAGAGAACUAUCUUUAUUCUUAUUAUUCUCAUUUGCAAUGCACUCAAAUUGCUCUGUUCUCACUUCUGUGUGCAACAGCUUUCAGUUAGAAUUUUUUCUGUGAAUUUUUCAUUUUUCAUCAUUUUACCAUUAUUUUUCCCCCAACAGAAAUUCAAUGUGAUAUUAAUUUGUGAUCAGCUGUAUGGUUCAUUCAUGUUUCUAUCAAAACACAUUUUGAACUCUCCAGAGGAGGAAACCCACGGAUGGUGCAGCAAAAUGCCCAUUACAUCCAGAACUGCAGCCAACUGCCAGAAGGUAGAACCGAACUGCAGCAGACAGGAAUUCCUGUUUUACAGACUCUCCUGCUAAGCUCCAGACAGUCUGCACCAGCAUGGUAUUUUUAGCACUGAAUCCCCUACAUAUUGCAUCCAUUUUACAUUUUUCCCUUCAUAGCAAAACUUAUUUUAUCCAAUUUAUUAUCUUUCAUGAAGCAGCAUCCAGGAUCAUGCUGGGAGGCUCCUUUGGAGUUGUUUUCCAAGAGUUUCAUUCCAGUGUCACCCACAGCAACUUGGCCAUACGGAGCUGUGGUGUCAGGCGCUCUUCACGUUUCCAAGUGCAGGCAGGAGAGAAGCCUGGGACCUGACACUAUUUCCACACCCUACUGAAACAACAACCAGUGCUUGGAAACAAAUGGCUUGUAAGAGUAAGAACUACAGAGGAACAAAGUGAAAAUGAACAGGACCAGAUCAAUCAAACACUCGUCUGAAACAUUACUGUGCAGUGCUAAUUUCUUGAGGCAGCACGUGAACACUUGUUAUUGACUGCAACCCACUGGGAAAAAUACUGCAUUUGACAAAACAAGAUGCUCUUACAUGGAGUUCACAAGGUCUAUAAGGAACAAUCUUCUGAUGUGAGUAACUGCUGUGCUUUCUGCUUAUAUAAACUUCCCUUUUUGCAUCAGUUCAGUCUGUCCUAGCUCAAAAUAAAAUGAGCUGUACUCUGGGCAUCUCUCUGGUUCUGAUCAAACUACAUGGGGGAGGACAGCAAGUGAGUAGCUUGCCACCUGCCUGUUGGAGUUGAAAGAGUCAGUCCCAUGGGCAGCAGAAAUAACCACUUCCUCAUCACAGUGCUGGGCUGCCCCAACACCCCUUGUCAAAUGGCAGAUUAAAUACAUUCAUUCCUUCAGCUGAACUUUAGCAAGAACAACAUGAAACAACAAAUACUCCAUGGACUCCCUCCCUAUUAUAGCAUAUCUACCUCAUUUUAAUGGUUACACCAGAAUUUAGGUGCAGAGAUGGUAUUUAUAAACAGCAUCUUGCCUUAAACAUGAAGCUACUGGCAACCACUGUACUUUGCCUCCAGCCUGCUGUGGAGUCAGGGAAGCAACACUCACUUCAGGGGACCUUACUGUGGUGUCACCUUGCGUCCAUCCCCACUGAGCAACCCCUGCUGCAUGGGGAGGGGCAGGGAUGGCAUAUUUGACAAAGUAUUUUUCCACAAAGCCAGGGAAAUUGGCACUGCCUCAUGUUUUGCUAUGCUCUUUGCCCCCCCGAAAGGGAACACUGGCAAGGUUUUGUAUUCUGCACACCACCUCCUGUGAUUCAUGUAGCAGCAGAGGGAGACAGAAGGGGAAUCAAUAUUGCUAGCUCAGAGCCAAAACCACUGAGGGCUUACUUUGUUCUCAACAAAAUUACUCUGUAGAAGGCAGUAUGCCAACAUCUGAAGUUCUGGCUACCCUGCCUGUAUUUAGAGAGAUUAGUUUUAUUUUAGGAACCGUUCUCGCAAAUCUGUGCAUAAUCACAUAAACACAAUGCCAACCAGACCUGCCAGAAGUAAGGCUGUACAUCACAGACAUCCUUUCAAAAGGAUCCUGCACUACACAUCUGAAAGUGUCUUCUGUUCCCAUCUGCCCUUCAGUUCAAACCAUCCUUAUUCUAGUAAGACUUUAGCAGUAAGAUUUUAGUGGUGAGCUAAUUAAUACUGCCCUCCAUGUAGUUAUUCAGAAUAUUUACCAUACUUAUUUUUUCAGUAGUAUCUUCCUACAGAUUUAUGAUAGCAAUUAUACCUAUUUCUUCUUUUUAUGAAACUAGUUUUUCUUCUAUUACUUUUUAGCAAAACAUUAAGAUGGUUGGCAUUUAAUUAUUUAAACUCUCCCACAAGUAUAUUUAGCACUGUUGCAACUAGCAGGGAGAAAAAGGCCUCUAUAAACCACUCCAAGGUCACCUUGGUUGGACUGCAGUAUACAAAAUACAAAGGUGGCUAAAAAUCACCAGCAGCACCAGCAGACCUUCAGAAACAGCUAGAAUUGCUCUGCCUUCCAAUGCAUGACAAACAAAGCUUCCCUCUGUUCCCUAAGUUUUAUGUCUUUCCUUCACUGACUUCUCACCUUUGAAAGUGCAUUUUCAAAACUGAUGAUGAGGGUUUAGCUGCAUUCUGAACAAAAAGGGAAUUUAACCGAGUGACUUUGUAUUUUCCAAGUUUCCCUAUAACACGAGACACUGGUAGCACAUGGAACUUGGAGAGCUGAUGGCAAGACCACAGCAGGGAUGGGCUGAUUCAUCCCACGUGGACAGCUUUUAAUCACACUGUGAUGCUGCAAUGCUUGUUUGAGGACCAGUGCCUCAGAGGACAGACCUGACACCAGAUCUUAUUUGGGUGUUGGGUUUGGAUCAAUGUGUCUGCUACAACAACUGCUGACUGCGUAGCCACAAAGACACCUCCACCAGCUCUGCUGAGGAUCUCUGACUCCAGCACAAUGAGCUGCAAUAAAGUACACGUUGUGCAAAUGAGGAAUCUCUACCACACCAAUGCUGUACACACUACUGAAGAGACAAGUUGCUGAAUUUUCUGAGCUCUAACUACAAUGCCAAGAAAUACUUGUGGUGACAAAGCUUUCUUGUCACAGACAUUCUUCUACGGUGGUUGUACGAUUGCACCUUUUGUCCAAAUGCUGAAUUUGCUUAAGUGUGGGUGAGAGUAUACAUUUUUAAAAAUACAGACAAUUCUUAAAAUAAUACAUCAUCAGGUCACUAUGUUACUGAUCUUCACUUUUAGUGGAAUUUAAAAUUCCCCCAAAGAGAGGUAAAAGUCCAUCCAGUAUUUUCCUUUACUCUUGAAUAUUCACAUUUGCACAUAAAACAUGAUACUCAUUUGCAAGAGCCUGGAUUCCCAUUGUGUCCUCAGGUCCCAUUCCACUUUUAAAAUAGGCAAUGGUACAAAUACUGAAAGAGGCAGUACCACAUCCCUCCUGACAAAAAUGCAAAUGAUUGUAUGGCAACCAGCCACAGGUUACUGAGGGUCAUCUCCCGAGAAAUCGCUUUUGUCUGACCCUGGGGUGGCGGAAAAGCUCCUGCAAGAGAAAAGAAAACACAUUUAAUGCUUUGCACAGGGAUGACAGCCUUAAUGCACCACUUUAUUGCUUCUUUACUGCUUGUCCCAGCAAUGGUAUCCAUACACAAUUAACUGGGUACUGCUCUAUGCUGUUAAAAUUAUGAAAGAUUCUCCAGAAGCCUUCAAGAAAAUAAUAAAAUAAAAACCAACCAAAACACAACCCCUUAAUUACUAAGAACAAUUUUGAUGUCAUUAUAAACUUUAAGCAUCCCUUAGAAGCUGCUUUCACUGUACUCAACCUUUGCAGAGAGAUCCAACUGUCAACUAAGUUUUGUGUUAUUUUUCAAGUUUUAUUAGUAUCUCCAUGAUCAAAUUGAAUGGAUACCACAUUAAACUCUACAGCUGUUUGGUGGCGAUACUGUAUACUGUGAAGAAGCAACACAUUUAUGUUCUUGAGGUUCCCCUUGAAAAUGUAAAGUGUACACACACAACAGCCCUUCUUGAAAGAACAGUUUCCACAUACUGUUUGAACACUCAGUCAUACUGACUAAGGAAACAUUAUAAUUUGCCACAGAACUUUCCAGAAAUUCUUUACUGAAAUCCUUGCUUAGAUGGGAAAGACUGGAAGAGAUUCAUCUGACAAUAAAAUUUGGUCUCUCCAUACUUUGGCUUUUUCUGACUUGCAACACUAAAUUAAAUGUGCCUGAAUACAUCAGAGCUUUAUGAUCAUAAGCAAACUAUUUGCAUAUAUUUACAUCAGCAUAUUAAAUCAUCUGUGUUACACUGUACUGAGAUGCACAAAGACUUGAUUACACAAAGCUCUUUUAUUGCUGUUAAUCCUGAACAGGGGAUAUAAAACUUUGAAUACACCACAGAAGAUGAACUUGCUUCAGCAUUAUGGAGUCUCAACUUCUCUCAGAAGAAAAUGAAAUUAAUGACUCAAAGAGUAAAGAUGCAGCAAUGUCAAUUUUUAAUCCUGGGAACCACACAAUUUGAGCAAUUAGAUACCAUCAGCAUCUUAUCUCUGUGCUCCACAUUUGCAAUCACUGGAGGAACUGCAAUCAAGCAUUUGAGACAAAGCUUUUCUUCCUGCAUGAAUGCUCUUAAUUAAAAAAAAAGUAAACAAGGAAAAAGCCUAAAAACAUCCUUGAUGAGCCCCAUCCACCUCUCCCUGACAGGUACAGAGAGCUGUCUCCUCCCUGUCUCCCUCCCAAGGCAGCUUUGACCCUUCCCGUUCCCAACUGAGACAAGCCAAGCACUUGUAGUUGUUCUUCACAGAAACUACUCCACCAUCCCCUUAAUCUCAGCUCUGAUAAUCUGUCCCUCUUCCCAUUUCAAUUUGUAUUCCUUGACAGGGAUAAUGGACUGUAUGCAGGAUUUCCAGAGGAGGUUUCCAAGCUGGUACAACAAAGAAUGUUUCCAUAGCAUUAAGGAAGCCAUUCCUUACUUUUUUCAUCACCUCACACCACUUGGCUUCUGAGCACAGGGAAUCAGGAGCACAAUGACUUCAGUACACCAUCACUCUUCCAACUGCUAUUAGUUUAUUGUUGGGGCUUUUUCCUUAAUUGGUCCCCAAGUGUUUUUGUCCUGCUAAAUGUAAUCUCACUUGUGUUACUGCAGGCCUCAAGGUUAUCUUGCUGGAGAGUUCAGAGAAAUUAAGAACUUGCCAAUACAAGUUUUCCACUAACUGCCUAAAACAGGAGUCUGUUACCUACAGCUAUUAACUUGAAAUGGUUCUAAUUGUAUAAAUGAAGUGUGUAAAAUGCACCUGUAAAAAAUUAUGGGAUUUUGUUAUUAAUAAGUUGGUAAUUCGUGCUGGACAUGUAGGAUUAUUAAUGUAAUAUAAAAUAAAGCUUUAGGAUCACACCAGCAAAGGGGAGAGGGAGAUUUCCACACAGGACAGCUCGCAGCCGAGGAGGAGGUGCAUCACUAACAUACAAAGAAAACCUAGCCCGCACAGGAGAUGGGCACUCCCCAAUGACAUGAACAAGGAAAUGCCCAGCGAUGAUGGCCCAUGUAGAUGUCCACCUCAGAUAGACAGGACAUCAAGGACAUACAUCUGAAUGAAGGAUUCCGGGAACUGGACACAGAUACACAUCAAUUCCCGGAUGAGGCUUUGUCCAGCACGGGACAGAGAAUAGACACUGCAUGAAUAUGAAGGACUCCAGGAGGGGACAAAGGGACUCUGCUGCAGGCAAGAAAAAGAGUAUAAAAAUCAAACUCUGCCAGUGGUGGUGAACAGGGGGAUUCGGUGCCAUAGAGGCUGGACCACAGUUCACCCACUCCGAUCCCGGGGUCAGCGCUACUUCUUCAUUGUUGGUGGUCAGGACUGUACAUUGGUCACGAAUAAAUUUAAUUUUUAUUUUUAA